AGAAUCAACGCUGGCGGCGUGCCUAACACAUGCAAGUCGAACGCGAAAGGGGCGCAAGCCCUGAGUAGAGUGGCAAACGGGUGAGUAACACGUGGGUGACCUGCCUUCGAGUGGGGGAUAACGUUCCGAAAGGAACGCUAAUACCGCAUGACAUCCUGCGUUUGGAGACGCGGAGAUCAAAGCUGGGGAUCGCAAGACCUGGCGCUGGGAGAGGGGCCCGCGGCUGAUUAGCUAGUUGGUGGGGUAAUGGCUCACCAAGGCGACGAUCAGUA
rnacentral:rRNA from 1 species